GGAGGUAUCAGAAGUGCGAAUGCUGACAUAAGUAACGAUAAUGCGGGUGAAAAACCCGCACGCCGGAAGACCAAGGGUUCCUGUCCAACGUUAAUCGGGGCAGGGUGAGUCGACCCCUAAGGCGAGGCUGAAAAGCGUAGUCGAUGGGAAACAGGUUAAUAUUCCUGUACUUGGUGUUACUGCGAAGGGGGGACGGAGAAGGCUAGGCUGGCCGGGCGACGGUUGUCCCGGUUUAAGCGUGUAGGGGGAGUGACCAGGUAAAUCCGGUUGCUUAUCAACCCUGAGGCGUGAUGACGAUGCACCACGGUGCAGAAGCAGUUGAUGCCAUGCUUCCAGGAAAAGCCUCUAAGCAUCAGGUAACAUUAAAUCGUACCCCAAACCGACACAGGUGGUCAGGUAGAGAAUACUCAGGCGCUUGAGAGAACUCGGGUGAAGGAACUAGGCAAAAUGGUGCCGUAACUUCGGGAGAAGGCACGCUGGCGUUAGGUGAAAGGACUAGCUCCUGGAGCUGAAGCCAGUCGCAGAUACCAGCUGGCUGCAACUGUUUAAUAAAAACACAGCACUGUGCAAACACGAAAGUGGACGUAUACGGUGUGACGCCUGCCCGGUGCUGGAAGGUUAAUUGAUGGGGUCAGCCGCAAGGCGAAGCUCUUGAUCGAAGCCCCAGUAAACGGCGGCCGUAACUAUAACGGUCCUAAGGUAGCGAAAUUCCUUGUCGGGUAAGUUCCGACCUGCACGAAUGGCGUAAUGAUGGCCAGGCUGUCUCCACCCGAGACUCAGUGAAAUUGAACUCGCUGUGAAGAUGCAGUGUACCCGCGGCAAGACGGAAAGACCCCGUGAACCUUUACUAUAGCUUGACACUGAACAUUGAGCCUUGAUGUGUAGGAUAGGUGGGAGGCCUUGAAGUGUGGACGCCAGUCUGCAUGGAGCCAACCUUGAAAUACCACCCUUUAAUGUUUGAUGUUCUAACUCGGCCCCAUGAUCUGGGGUGAGGACAGUGUCUGGUGGGUAGUUUGACUGGGGCGGUCUCCUCCCAAAGAGUAACGGAGGAGCACGAAGGUUAGCUAAUCACGGUCGGACAUCGUGAGGUUAGUGCAAAGGCAUAAGCUAGCUUGACUGCGAGAGUGACGGCUCGAGCAGGUACGAAAGUAGGUCUUAGUGAUCCGGUGGUUCUGAAUGGAAGGGCCAUCGCUCAACGGAUAAAAGGUACUCCGGGGAUAACAGGCUGAUACCGCCCAAGAGUUCAUAUCGACGGCGGUGUUUGGCACCUCGAUGUCGGCUCAUCACAUCCUGGGGCUGAAGUAGGUCCCAAGGGUAUGGCUGUUCGCCAUUUAAAGUGGUACGCGAGCUGGGUUUAGAACGUCGUGAGACAGUUCGGUCCCUAUCUGCCGUGGGCGUUGGAAGAUUGAGAGGGGCUGCUCCUAGUACGAGAGGACCGGAGUGGACGAAUCACUGGUGUUCGGGUUGUCAUGCCAAUGGCAUUGCCCGGUAGCUAAAUUCGGAAGAGAUAACCGCUGAAAGCAUCUAAGCGGGAAACUUGCCUCGAGAUGAGUCUUCCCUGGGGCUUAAAGCCCCCUGAAGGAACGUUAAAGACUAUGACGUUGA
rnacentral:rRNA from 1 species